CACACUGUCCCAGGUAGCAGCUUAUGAUGAACAGAAUGCAGUAUGCAUAGCGAGCUUCAUCAAAGCCCAUUUCUAUUCAUCCCCAUUAUGGUCUCUGGAGGAAUGGUUGCAGUACAGUCUUUAUGUCCUGGACAGAGCAUCACGUAAAGGACCAGUUUUACUAAGUUCUGAGAGGUAUGUGACAUUAUCAUGACCAGGAUUUUGGAC